rnacentral:rRNA from 1 species
CAGUCGCCGCGGUAAUACAGAGGGUGCAAGCGUUAAUCGGAAUUACUGGGCGUAAAGCGCGCGUAGGUGGUUUGUUAAGUUGGAUGUGAAAGCCCCGGGCUCAACCUGGAAACUGCAUCCAAAACUGGCAAGCUAGAGUACGGUAGAGGGUGGUGGAAUUUCCUGUGUAGCGGUGAAAUGCGUAGAUAUAGGAAGGAACACCAGUGGCGAAGGCGACCACCUGGACUGAUACUGACACUGAGGUGCGAAAGCGUGGGGAGCAAACAGGAUUAGAUACCCCUGUAGUCCCUGUCUCUUAUAC